UAUUUCGAACAAAAAGCUCUACUAGCAAGAAGUAAACACUUACGAUGUAUUUUAACAUAUGACUUAUACUACUGGGAAUGAAAAGUCUUCAACCUCUAUAAUUUUAACCCUCAAUUUUCUUAUAACUUAUGUAAUAGAUAGGUAGCGAAAAAUUCAUCGGAAAAGUGAGGUAAUGAUAGCAUAAGAUAAUUGCCGAAUUUAGCCAGUUUCUGGAAUGAUUUAGUUAAAUUGUCAGUUUGUAUAUUAUUUUUUUUUACUUUUUCGAAUUGCCUGAAUAAAAAUAAAGUAUCGCGUGCAGAAAUGAAAAAUACAUCAAUAGAAUCACGUCGAAGCGUCCUAAGCAUGGCGAUUGCCGGACUUAGGUUGUGCGGGAUUUGGAGUCUGGAUUCAUCGAGCCCGAUUUUCCUAAAACUUCUACAUAACAUUUCAAAUAUUUUUGGCAUCAUUGCGCUAAUUAUUUUUGUGGGAACGUUAACUAUAGAUCUGAUACUUAAUUCUAACGAUCUUCUGAUUGCCACUGACGACGGAUGUUAUCUUGCUGGAAUAUCUGUUAUAGUAUUCAAAGUAUACAAAUUUCACCGUUACCACAAAAGAAUUAAAAAUCUUACGGACGCAACUUAUCAACCUAUUUAUGUAUUUUGGAACUCUACUGAUAUUGGCGUAAAAACGGUUUUGAAGACUAAUAAAUUUUAUGAAGAUCUUGGUUUCAAAUUUUUUGUGUCUCUCGGUGGAAUUCUGGUUAUUGCAUUGAUUUUUUUCGUGCCAACAGAAGAAGGCGCUUUACCAAUACGAGGGGCUUAUCCAUUCAAUACAACAAACUCACCGAUGCAUGAAAUAGCAUUUAGUUUGCAAAUUUACGCGGUAACUUACGGUCUCAUGGCAAUUUUGAUGAUGGACACAGUGGGUUUAGGAAUUAUGAGAUGGUUAAACGUUCAAUGCAUUAUUCUCGCGUCAAACUAUCGAAAUUGUCGAGCCAAUCAAAAUAACUCAUUUUAUUUAGAAUCUCGCGAUGAUUUAUCAACGAUUGCAUCUAUUGAAGACAAUAACAAUAAUAUUACCGAUAUUUAUGAUGAACCAGAUUCAAAUAUAACGACAUUUUGCCCAUUCGACGAACAAGACGCUGCAGGCGUGAGUGAUUGUUUUAUCGGGAGGUUUAAACGAUGCAUUAAAAAUCAUCAACGGCUUUUGAAUACCAUUGACGAACUGAACGCCUGCUUUAGUAGCUGUAUGUUGAUGCAACUGUUUGCGAGUUUUUCAAUGAUAUGCUUGACGGGUUUUCAGGCCGUUCUGGGCGCAACAACGAAAACAAGUUUAAUAAAAUUUGUUCUCUACUUGGGAGCAGCAUUUUCCCAAUUGCUUUACUGGUGUUGGUUUGGAAAUGAAUUGCUCUAUGAGAUUUAUGCAGAAAGUAACAUUACUAACAUCUCAAUGGACAUCUGGUUGGGAAAAUGAACUUGAUUCGAACAUUCAGCCUCUGUUAAUAGUGUCUAUGAUUAAGACAAUGAGACCAUUAGAGCUACACGCCGGCGCAUUUUUUAUCAUGUCCAUGGAAACAUUCAUUUCCAUAAUUAAGAGCUCUUAUUCAUUCUUCGCUCUACUGACAACAAUGACUGACUGAUUAAUAAUUUAUUAUUUGUGAAUUUGUAGUUAAUUUGAAAAUAGUAUAUAAUAAAAUCUGUUAAUAAAUAAAAUAACUUUAUAUUACUCAAACAUA